GGCUAUUAUUGUUAUAUUGUUUUAGUCUGUGAGUGAAACAUUUGUAUCUGGCAUUUUUUAUUAACGGAUAUUUUUUGAUCAAUACUUCUUGCAGCACACUUUGAUCAUUUUUACAUAGCUAAUUACUGGUAAAUUAAGCCAAAAUUACUGGGUGGUGGGUCUAUUUUAGUAAACAGCAGCUGAUCUUUAGUUUCAUCGUGUUUCUUAAGUGCCACACAACCUCUAUAUUUCGCAGUUAAACAAAAGAUAUUUCAUGAGAAAUUUGCACUGUUAUAAAGCUGACAUCCAGCGCUCGCUCAAAGAGGAAGUAAGGGAUUCCUAUCGAGUAGCACUGCAGGCACAGUGAGGCAGGGACAGCACCUGGUUUCCAUGGUUUCUCUGUGUUUGGUCUCUUCUAUAGGAAACUUGGUAGAAAUCAAAAAAGUAGACAUUUGCAAUUCAUUUCGUUCUGAAAUGUCAAUUCAGCCGAAUUUCGGGCAAUUCGGACAUUUGGAUACUUCCGAAUAGCUGAAUUGCUUUAGUGAUGAAUUUUGGAAUGCCGAACCAAAGUACUGAAGUCCCGAAGCAAUAAGCGCCGAAUGUCCGAAUUUCGGAUUUGCUGAAAAGCAGAAAUACUGAAGCACAGAAUUACCAAAGUACUAAUAUACCCAGUGGAAGAAUGUUACACUGUAUACUAGUUUAAAUAAAAAGUAUACACACAUAGCCAGGAUUCAGCUGUAAGCACUUGCAACACUUACAUUUUAUAUGAACGUGUUACUUGAUUGUUGUAAGUUACUUAGCCAGUCAAUGGAUGGGAAUGAGUAAGUAGAUAGCUCCCUAAUAUCGUUGGAAUUAUGGAGUUAUCUACCAAAAGGCUGAAAGACCUAAAUUGGUCUUUCAGCCAAAUUUACUAAUACUAAGUAAAAAUUACUUGGUAUUAGUAAAUUCUGCCCCUACUUGCUAUACCGCGAGUAG